rnacentral:rRNA from 1 species
AACGAACGCUGGCGGCAUGCCUAACACAUGCAAGUCGAACGAAUGGUUUCGGCCAUUAGUGGCGCACGGGUGAGUAACGCGUGGGAAUCUGCCCAGCAGUGGGGGAUAACCUCUGGAAACGGAGGCUAAUACCGCAUACGCCCCUCCGGGGGAAAGGGACUUGCUGCUGCUGGAGGAGCCCGCGUCGGAUUAGGUAGUUGGUGGGGUAACGGCCUACCAAGCCUGUGAUCCGUAGCUGGUCUGAGAGGAUGAUCAGCCACACUGGGACUGAGACACGGCCCAGACUCCUACGGGAGGCAGCAGUGGGGAAUAUUGCGCAAUGGGCGGAAGCCUGACGCAGCCAACCCGCGUGUGUGAUGAAGGCCUUCGGUUGUAAGCACUGUCGUGAGGGAAGAAGAUCUGACGGUACCUCACAAGAAAGACACCGG